GGACGGGUGGCCGAGUGGUUUAAGGCGCACGCCUGGAAAGUGUGUGUGCGUUCAUAGCGUACCGUGGGUUCGAAUCCCACCCCGUCCG
rnacentral:tRNA from 2 species